rnacentral:rRNA from 1 species
GAUCCUGGCUCAGGAUGAACGCUAGCGGCAGGCUUAACACAUGCAAGUCGAGGGGCAGCGGGGAGUAGCAAUACUCCGCCGGCGACCGGCGCACGGGUGAGUAACACGUAUGCAAUCCACCUGUAACAGGGGGAUAACCCGGAGAAAUCCGGACUAAUACCCCAUAAUAUGGGCGCUCCGCAUGGAGAGCCCAUUAAAGAGAGCAAUUUUGGUUACAGACGAGCAUGCGCUCCAUUAG